rnacentral:lncRNA from 1 species
GGGCGACCUCGGGGCUUCUCGGCAUUCUGGCGCGUCGGCAGGCAUGGCUCAGCAAGUCGCUCAAAACUUUCGAUAUACUUCCCCGCUUUGCUUGCCGCCAACAUAGUUUGCCUUAGAGACUGCAUAUACAGCCACUCCAGUCGGUCAGGUAUGGACACAAUUGGUCCACCAGUCAACUAGUCUCCAGCCGUGCUGCCCUUGGUCCCCUCCGCCGCAAACCCCUCAACCAGCCCCCACCAGCCCCCCGUCCAACCACAACCCCUUAACAGCCCAGGACUGCAACACGUCUGAAGGCAGCCAGCCGCGCCCUGCUGCUUACCCUGCUGGUCACGCGGUUGCCCCGCAUCUGGCGCGCUCCUGCUGCCGCCUCCUGAGGUUACAGGCCGAUUUAGGCGUUUAUCCGGGAGCGGGGAGGUCCUUGGGUUCAAUUGCAACCCAGCAGGGAAAUUGCCCGCGCUAGGGUUAUCCGUGAAGCCGGGCGUGCGCAACCUCUUUCCAGACCAACGUCGCCACCCGCACCUUUCAGCGAUAGCACGUAGUCUACGUAGGCAGGCAGCAGCCCCGCGUCUUUCAGGCCUUUGUGUGUGGCAAUUUGCAGGAGGUCUUCGGAGCGAUAGCCGGCCUUCCACAGCGCGUCCACAGCGCUAUCGUCUAGUUGCUUCAGGUCAGCCCCAAAGCCUCCAAGAACAGAGCACAUCUGCUCCCGCUCCGCCGGACUCACAGCCGUCAUAUUGUGCUGGACGCUGGCGCCAGGAGAGAUGCUGAGCACGACGAUUUAAUAUCAAUUCAUUCCCUUGCGACUUGCAACUGGCUGGCCUAGACGGUCUGCGAUGGGCCUCUAUCAAACCGGGAAACAAGGUAGCAGCUAUCACGCAAAAUGUCUUGGUAAAGAUAGCGGUUUGAGGCGGCCCAAUGGGCAGCGGGGCUUGAGUUGAGCUCAAGUCUUCAUCCGCAGCCUUCAUCGCGCCAAACCGUGCUGCAGUAGCUAUCACCGCCGCCAUCUAUGGUCGCACGGCUGCGCCGCCGGGCUGACACGCCAUGCGGCUGUGGCCGCGUAUGAGGGGGCCCUCGCCGACACCGUGCGGGAGAAGGGGUGCCGUGCGAAGAUGUGGAAGACUGGUCCGAGUCAAGGACUCCUGCGGUCACAGCCAUGACAGGAUGCGCCGGCGGCGACAUGGAUGCGCCGGCGACAUGGAUGCAGGAGAUCCGGUGUGUCGGGGCCCUGCAAUUUCAUAGUGGUGUUUGCGAUAUGGUUCACAGCGGCAGCGGCAGUCCUGCUCACCAUGUGCUGAGAUGCGCCUAGGGCUUGUGUCAUAGGGUAGCAUGUGUCUGCAUGUGCUUCAGGUAUUUUUGGGCUGAGCCCUCCGAGCGCUAUAUACCUGUAUUAUAUGACCCGUCCUUCCUUGCGCCUCCCGCCCCAGUUUUGCUCCCGGUCCGGUCACAAUCGGGCUGGCAAGUUUCGGCGCUUCCUCGCCUCCCAUUCCUUGCUUCCAGGCUGUGUCAAAGCAAUUCAUCCUGCCCAUUGCACGUGCUCAUAAACUCUCCCCAGCAAUUCAUGGCCCUGUACGCAAGCUUGCUCCAACCAUGGGGGCCUGCACCCCGCCCCCAGGCCAUGGGGGCCCCGACCCCUGACCGAGUCGGCAGGCAUGGCUCAGCAAGUCGCUCAGAACUUUCGGUAUACUUCCCCGCUAUGCUUGCCGCCAACAUAGUUUGCCUUAGAGACUGCAUAUCAGCGGGCACCGGAUGCUUUCCUCGCGACCUCGCGAAAGUCAAUUGUCCAUGGACCGCGAAGGCACUUCUCGCUCCGCCCGAAUUUUCGCUGCCACCUAUUUACAUGCAAUAGGCAUUAACAAAUACUAUACGUAGCAGUCGCGGUUUGCGCCAGUAUGCUAUGUUUUGCUGACGCGCGGUUUGCCGCCGCUACAUAUUCUUUUGCUUUUCAUUCACAUUUGCUAUCCGUUCUGACGUCUGCCUGCCCCUGAAACCCCUUUGCCCGUCGCCUCCCCUGGUCCGCCUCCCCCUGGUCCGCCUCCCCCCUCCCCUGGCCCUGCACGCUUUUCUUCGAGCACGGACAGGGGUGUUCCUGGGGGGCUUCGCCCCCCCCCCCUGGAACGCUUCGCUGGGGGGGCUCAGCCCAAAAAGCAUACUUUUGAAGACAUUCAUGCUCUUCCCCGCUUUACAUGUGUUGCAGGUACCAGCUGGUGCCAGCUGUGCAGCGCGCGUGGCUUGCUUUUUAUGCAGGGUCGCCAGGUUGAGCGCACCUCCUGCUCAAGGUGUUUGACCUGUACAACAGCACGCAGCACUCAGCAGACCAAGGAGACACCUCUGCUUGCAUCUUCCGGGGUUUGGCCACCUGGGCCACCGCAGCUGGCGAGAAGAGCUUUGCCACGUUCUCACCCACGGCACCCAGGGCCAAACAAGGGGUGUCAGCUUUAUACAGCUGGAAAAUGGGCUGAGCCCCCGUACGCUUGGGAGAUAAUAGCCGUGUAACGCCCCGUCAGAGCCUCCAUGCCGCUACGACGCGCAGGCGCAUCGGCUAGGGACUCUCGGGUUGGGGCCGUGCGGGAUUUCCCGCGCCACGCAUGCGUGCCUUGCCACGUUCCCGAACACCCCAAGCAUUUCUUUUGCCUUCUGCCAUACUCAACACCUCCCCGGCGCCCCACGCUCGAAGGGCUAGGCGCAGGGCGGGGGCGACCUCGGGGCUUCUCGGCAUUCUGGCGCGUCGGCAGGCAUGGCUCAGCAAGUCGCUCAAAACUUUCGAUAUACUUCCCCGCUUUGCUUGCCGCCAACAUAGUUUGCCUUAGAGACUGCAUAUACAGCCACUCCAGUCGGUCAGGUAUGGACACAAUUGGUCCACCAGUCAACUAGUCUCCAGCCGUGCUGCCCUUGGUCCCCUCCGCCGCAAACCCCUCAACCAGCCCCCACCAGCCCCCCGUCCAACCACAACCCCUUAACAGCCCAGGACUGCAACACGUCUGAAGGCAGCCAGCCGCGCCCUGCUGCUUACCCUG